UGUGAAAUAAGAUCGCAUUUUUUUGAGAAUGGUGCAAAAUAAUAGACUCUCCCCAAUAGUUGGAAGGUGAGGGAUGAAUUUCAAAAUAGAUGUUAUUUGAGAAUCAUGAAGCAGUAUUCUAGUGUUAUUUUGUUGCAAAUCCGCCACAUCCUAGUGUAUUUUGAGGUUCAAAAUCUGCCAAAUCCUACAAUAGGAGCACCUAGUUUCUCUGCGAGCUAUUUACCCUUUAUGCUUUAUUUUUCACAAGGUGUUUGGAUUGAUUGAGAAA